rnacentral:rRNA from 1 species
UACGUAGGGGGCAAGCGUUGUCCGGAAUCAUUGGGCGUAAAGAGCGUGUAGGCGGCCAGAUAAGUCCGCUGUGAAAUCUCGAGGCUCAACUUCGAGCUGUCGGUGGAAACUGUCUGGCUAGAGUCCGGAAGAGGAGAAUGGAAUUCCUGGUGUAGAGGUGAAAUGCGCAGAUAUCAGGAAGAACACCCGUGGCGAAGGCGGUUCUCUGGGACGGUACUGACGCUGAGACGCGAAAGCGUGGGGAGCGAACAGG